CAGAAAGAGUUCCAUAAACAUAAAAGGCUAUUUGUGCAUACUUUGCCAGCAAUGGGAGAACCCUGCACAGAGGAGAGUCCUUCCUGCAAAUGGUUCUGUGACUCAGAAACUGACAACAGCUACCUGCAAAGGAACAAAGGAGGAGAAUGACAAUCCAGAGUGCGAGCAGGAGGGGUUCAGCAGUGUCUGAUGAUAUAGUGAAAUGGCAAGUAUAUGAUUCAGGAAAGGAUUCACUUGGAAG